GAAGGUGGCGAGCGUUGUUCGGAAUCACUGGGCUUAAAGCGCGCGUAGGCGGAAUGGUAAGUGUCUUGUGAAAGCCCCCCGGGCUUAACCGGGGGGAAUUGCUCGGCAUACUGCCAUUCUUGAGGCAAGUAGGGGUGCAUGGAACUCUUGGUGGAGCGGUGGAAUGCGUAGAUAUCAAGAGGAACGCCAAAGGUGAAGACAGUGCACUGGGCUUGUCCUGACGCUGAGGUGCGAAAGCGUGGGGAGCGAAAGGGAUUAGAUACCCCUGUAGUCCACGCCGUAAACGAUGUCUACUAGGUUGUGGAGGUUCUGACACCCUCACAGUCGAAGCAAAAGUGUUAAGUAGACCGCCUGGGAAGUACGGUCGCAAAGGCUA
rnacentral:rRNA from 1 species